UGGAUUGGUCGGAUCCCUGCUCGUGCAGCGACGGCCACUCUUACAACCCUUUUCAUUCGUGCUACAAAGGCGAUAUGCCUUGGACCAAUUCGGUUGCCUGUGUUGUAUACCUACGUUGAUGGAAUUCACUCGUCCAAUCGCCCCUUAUUCACCUUGCGCUGUUUAUACGGUGCGGGAUGAACCUUGCAGUGUCCUUUGUUGUCCUUUCUUGCCUCGUGUUUCGCCUGACGCACGAAAUGGCCAAUGUCGUGACACUCGAUUUCUCGGAUACAGAACCUUAAGCGGGCAACUGGUCUUUGGCCUUGAUUUGCCUAAAUUGAGCGUUCUCGCUUCUUACGAACGACUGUUGUGCCCGUUUUGACCUGAGGAUACUUUCGGUCCGACUGGCUCAUGCGGUGCCGACGUCGAGAAGGAAUGCUAC
rnacentral:misc_RNA from 1 species